UGGACUCAAUACUGUAAGUCACUCUGGCUAAGAGUGUCUGCUAAAUUACUGAAA
rfam:Salmo salar isolate Sally breed double haploid chromosome ssa26, whole genome shotgun sequence.